rnacentral:other from 1 species
UGAAUCCUGCGUUGUUCGUAGAAUAUCUUGGUUUUGAUCCUAUUUAUGACAAGGGAACUGAUAUGAUGAGUUCAGUACAUCAAGCCCACUUGCAGGGGAAGGUGGAAAGAUUCAUCUAGGUACCCACCUGCGAGAGCAGGGUCAGAAACCUGGAGUUUUACGGCAAGGCGGGGAUGGU